rnacentral:lncRNA from 1 species
CAUUGUCCUGGCUGGAAGGCAGUUCAGUGUAUGGGUUAGUCCAUAGUAAGUCAAUAGGGCUAACUGGCUAGCUAGCUAGCCACAAACAAUUGGUAGCUAGCUACUCACGAAAAAUGUACAUCUACCUUGCAUAACAUUAGUUUUUAGCUCAUUUUUGCCUGUUUAACUAGCUGGCUAGCAAGAUUAUUACAAUUGACAUAAAUCGAGCUGAUAAUUAUGAAGUAAAAUGUUUUCUGUGUGUAUAUCUUGUUUGGUCUCUAUUGUUACCAUUGUCCUGGCUGGAAGACAGUUAAGUGAAGUGAGGAGGUGCAGCGUGAGGUAAUAGAGUUGGGGGAGGAACAGCGUGAGGUAAUACAGUAGGGGGAGGAGCAGCGUGAGGUAAUACAGUAGGGGGAGGAGCUGCGUGAGGUAAUACAGUAGGGGGAGGAGCAGCGUGAGGUAAUACAGUAGGGGGAGGAGCAGCGUGAGGUAAUACAGUAGGGGGAGGAACAGCGUGAGGUAAUACAGUAGGGGGAGGAGCAGCGUGAGGUAAUACAGUAGGGGGAGGAGCAGCGUGAGGUAAUACAGUAGGGGGAUCAGCAGCGUGAGGUAAUACAGUAGGGGGAGGAGCAGCGUGAGGUAAUACAGUAGGGGGAGGAGCAGCGUGAGGUAAUACAGUAGGGGGAGGAGCAGCGUGAGGUAAUACAGUAGGGGGAGGAGCAGCGUGAGGUAAUACAGUAGGGGGAGGAGCAGCGUGAGGUAGUAGAGUAGGGGGGGGAGAGUGCUUCUAAAAUGUAAUGAUUUAUGCGUUCUCCACACUCUCAUCCUCACAAGAUCGUAUUGAAGAGCACAUCCUCGGAGAAUGAGAGUGUGGAGAGAGAGAGAGACAGGGGUCAGGUCUGUGUGGGUGGUGAUGGUGUAGUAGAGGUAGUGAUGGGGUCAGGUCUGUGUGGGUGGUGAUGGUGUAGUAGAGGUAGUGAUGGGGUCAGGUCUGUGUGGGUGGUGAUGGUGUAGUAGAGGUAGUGAUGGGGUCAGGUCUGUGUGGGUGGUGAUGGUGUAGUAGAGGUAGUGAUGGGGUCAGGUCUGUGUGGGUGGUGACGGUGUAGUAGAGGUAGUGAUGGGGUCAGGUCUGUUAUUAUGAAGGUAGUGACAUAUUCCAAUAUAGAAAAAGUCAUUCUGUUGAUCUUAGAUGGACCAAUUGUUUAAUCAACACUAACUGUUUUAUCAAUAACGGAUAAGAUCCUAAAGUUAACAUCAGUAUUUCACAGUGUUAUUGUUGGACUGGUGUGUGUGUGACAGGUAUGACGUAAGAGGAAGAACAAUACGAGUGAACAACUCUUUAAUGUUUAAAACUCCCAGCGAUGAAGACCGACACACACACACACACACACACACACACACACACACACACACACACACACAGACACAGAGUAUAAUUGCUGGAUAAGGGGUUGAAAUGUCUAUCAUAGCUAGAGGUGGGGAGGAGGGGGUGUUGAGGCCUCUGGAAAGGCCAGGGCAGACAGGAGAUCACAUGGAAGUGGUUUGAUCAUACAUAAGAUACGGUUAUACAGUUUAGAAGAGGAAGUUAGAGGGGGAGGAAUGUAGGUGAGGGAGGAAGAGAGAGCGCUGGGGAGAGAGAGAGGGGGGACGAGAGAGAGGGCUGAGGAGAGAGAGGGAGAAAGAGAGAGGGCUGAGGAGAGAGAGG